GACGAACGCUGGCGGCGCGCUUAACACAUGCAAGUCGAGCGAAGCGGCGGCCGGGUGAGUAACACGUGAGUAACCUGCGUUAGACAUUGGUAUAGCCUCGGGAAACCGGGAUUAAUACCAAAUGGUCUAAGAUGGACUCGCGUCCCAUUCGAUAGUGGGUGAGAUAACGGCCCACCAAGGCGACGAUGGGUAGCCGGCCGGAGAGAGUGAACGGGCAGAUUUGAACUGAGAAACGAUACGAACUCGUCGGGAGGGAGCAGUGGGGAAUAGUGCACAAUGGAGGGAGCUCUGAUGCAGCGACGCCGCGUGAACGAAGAAGGCUUUCGAGUCGUAAAGUUCUUUUAUAUGGGAAGCGGUACCAUAAGAAAAAGCCCCGGCUAACUACGUGCCAGCAGGCGCGGUAAUUC
rnacentral:rRNA from 1 species